CCUACGGGCGGCUGCAGUGGGGAAUCUUGCACAAUGGGGGAAACCCUGAUGCAGCGACGCCGCGUGGGCGACGAAGGCCUUCGGGUUGUAAAGCCCUUUCGGCAGGGACGAUGAUGACGGUACCUGCGGAAGAAGCUGCGGCUAACUACGUGCCAGCAGCCGCGGUAAUACGUAGGCAGCGAGCGUUGUUCGGAGUUACUGGGCGUAAAGCGUGCGUAGGCGGCCGGCUAAGUUCCGUGUGAAAUCUCCCGGCUCAACCGGGAGGGGGCGCGGAA
rnacentral:rRNA from 1 species